rnacentral:rRNA from 1 species
GUGCCAGGCCGCCGCGGUAAUACGAAGGGUGCAAGCGUUAAUCGGAAUUACUGGGCGUAAAGCGCGCGUAGGUGGUUCGUUAAGUUGGAUGUGAAAGCCCCGGGCUCAACCUGGGAACUGCAUCCAAAACUGGCGAGCUAGAGUAUGGCAGAGGGUGGUGGAAUUUCCUGUGUAGCGGUGAAAUGCGUAGAUAUAGGAAGGAACACCAGUGGCGAAGGCGACCACCUGGGCUAAUACUGACACUGAGGUGCGAAAGCGUGGGGAGCAAACAGG